CUGGCCUUCCUGAAGGGGGAAGCAGGCCACCUCCCACCUCCUGGUCUAUGUCUGGGACUUGGCAGCCAAAGUACAUCCCAGAAGGGAACCUAAACUAAGACACUGGAUACUGAAAAUGGUUUGACAAAGCAGACCCUCACUCAAGGCUUCAUGUUGGAAUCGAUCUGUCCACCUGUCUCAGAGUCACAGGGUCUCCAUACCUCUGGGGUCCUGCAAGGUGUUUGUUCUCAAGACCUGCCCUCACCACUGCUCCUUGAUGCCAGGCCGACAUCCAGGGUCAGACUUCACCACAGCUAGAGCAGAGAGGCAUAUGCUCAGCUUUGGUCAGAACUGUCCUGUUCUCCAAAGGAAUUGCAGAGCUAACGUGUGCCAGCAGGAUCUUAAGGAACACAGAUACUCCUGCAUGACCCAUUUCAAGCUACCACCGUGACCUCCUGUGAAAGUGGUGAUGCCAUCUAAGGCCACAUGCAUGGAGAGAAGCCCACCCUGCUUGCCCUGGGUUCAGGCCAACAUGGCCAACCUAAGCAAUUCCUUAGAAAACAGAGUUUGGAUCUGCCCAGUUACAAGGAGAAAUGGACCUCCCAACGUUCAACAUCUAGAAGACUAUUUUUCUAAACUCUUUGUUAAAAGAUUUUAAAAGGGGCUGUUCUUACCAAAUCUCAAUAAAAUGUCCAUUGUAAGAUA